ACUCCUACGGGAGGCAGCAGUGGGGAAUAUUGCACAAUGGGCGCAAGCCUGAUGCAGCCAUGCCGCGUGUAUGAAGAAGGCCUUCGGGUUGUAAAGUACUUUCAGCAGUGAGGAAGGUGGGUAUGUUAAUAGCAUAUUCAUUUGACGUUAGCUGCAGAAGAAGCACCGGCUAACUCCGUGCCAGCAGCCGCGGUAAUACGGAGGGUGCGAGCGUUAAUCGGAAUUACUGGGCGUAAAGCGCAUGCAGGUGGUUUGUUAAGUCAGAUGUGAAAGCCCGGGGCUCAACCUCGGAAUUGCAUUUGAAACUGGCAAACUAGAGUACUGUAGAGGGGGGUAGAAUUUCAGGUGUAGCGGUGAAAUGCGUAGAGAUCUGAAGGAAUACCGGUGGCGAAGGCGGCCCCCUGGACAGAUACUGACACUCAGAUGCGAAAGCGUGGGGAGCAAACAGGAUUAGAUACCCUGGUAGGACUGC
rnacentral:rRNA from 1 species